rnacentral:rRNA from 1 species
UACGAAGGGGGCUAGCGUUGCUCGGAAUCACUGGGCGUAAAGCGCACGUAGGCGGCUUUUUAAGUCAGGGGUGAAAUCCUGGAGCUCAACUCCAGAACUGCCUUUGAUACUGGCGAUCUUGAGUCCGGGAGGGGUGAGUGGAACUGCGAGUGUAGAGGUGAAAUUCGUAGAUAUUCGCAAGAACACCAGUGGCGAAGGCGGCUCACUGGCCCGGUACUGACGCUGAGGUGCGAAAGCGUGGGAGCGAACGAGG